GGCAGCAGUGGGGAAUAUUGGACAAUGGGGGCAACCCUGAUCCAGCCAUGCCGCGUGUGUGAAGAAGGCCUUCGGGUUGUAAAGCACUUUCAGUAGGGAAGAAAAGCCCAAGGAUAAUACCUUUGGGUCUUGACGGUACCUACACAAGAAGCACCGGCUAAUUCCGUGCCAGCAGCCGCGGUAAUACGGAAGGUGCAAGCGUUAAUCGGAAUCACUGGGCGUAAAGCGCGCGUAGGCGGUUAGAUAAGUUGGGUGUGAAAGCCCCGGGCUCAACCUGGGAACUGCAUUCGAUACUGUCUGACUAGAGUGUGAUAGAGGGAGGCGGAAUUCCGCACGUAGCGGUGAAAUGCGUAGAGAUGCGGAGGAACACCAAUGGCGAAGGCAGCCUCCUGGAUUAACACUGACGCUGAGGCGCGAAAGCGUGGGGAGCAAACAGGAUUAGAUACCCUGGUAGUCCACGCCGUAAACGAUGUCAACUAGCCGUUGGGAGCAAUUUGGCUCUUGGUGGCGCAGCUAACGCGAUAAGUUGACCGCCUGGGGAGUACGGUCGCAAGAUUAAAACUCAAAUGAAUUGACGG
rnacentral:rRNA from 1 species